GCUGGGUCUUUCCCCCAGGGACGGCCUUCCCACCAGCCUGUGUCCAGCCUUCUGGUCAGUGCUCUGCGGGCCCUUCCUGCCAGUCUGCGCCUGCUGACCUCCCACCCCUCUUCACCCCCGGCGGCCUUCCUAGAAGGAUGGAUGUGUCGUGCUGCCUCUGUAUCUAUCAUCCGUGGUCCUCGCCGCUGGAUGGUAACGGCUGGGAGGCCAGGCACCGGUGCCCUGACCCCACUUGACUGGUUCACACUGAGUUUACCAAACAAUCCAGGAGGGUGGGUGGGGGUCACUAGGCAGAAAUGAGCUCAGGAGCCUGACCUUUGACCCCGUGAAGGGGGGGAGACUGGGGAAGGGUGGAGGCCGGAAGGAAGAGAUCCAUGCGGUUUGCUCUCGGGGACAUCUGGCUCCUGACAGGGGCAGACUAGAGGGCAGGGCCAGCUGCAGAGUGACAGAGGCAGAGGAGCAGGAGAGAGUGCGCCAGGCCGGCCAGGCCAGGGGUGGGGCUGGGAGAGGGCUGUCUGGACCCCGAGGGCCAGCAAGGGGGAGGAGCUGGGGGCGGGGUGAGGUGGGGUUCUGCCCUAGACAUGUCCAGUGUGAGCCCCCACAGGAGACAGGCAUGGAGCCGGGUGCUGGGUGGCAGGGUGAGUGUCUAGUUUCACCAGUGGGUCCUUCAGCCACUCCCUCUGGAAGCCUCGCAGAGGAAGCCUGAGUGGCAGGAACUGGACUUGGACCCACAUUCCUAGAACUGCAGCCUCCCUGAGCCUCAGCCCCACCGCUCGAGGGCCCUGAGGGCCCUUCCUAGGCUGUGAGACACGGUGUACACCCAACUCCACGGCAGUUUUCCUAGGAAAUAUUCGGAAAUGGCGCCUGGCAGACUGAAGGCCAGGUGCCAAGUGCUGACCUGAGCAGCUGGGGUCUCGGGAUCUUCCUGACGCGGACGAAGGCGGCUGCCGCCAGGGACCGACUCAGUCCAGGAGGCACACCCAUCUGAUGGCAUCUGCAGCCUGAGGCCACCUCCUCAUACUGUCUCCUCAGCCACGCCUGACAUGCCAGGAUCGUAUUACAAAAGGAAAACAUGCUCAAUGGAGAACACUGGAGUGUAUCACAGCACUGUGCAAACAUCACUACAACCAAUCUGAGACCUUUUCAUCACCUCCAAGAGAAACCUGUAGCCAUCACACGUGCCCAUCUUUGAGGGGCCUCUUUUAUUACGAAUGGGUGAUAAAUGUUAUGAAAUGGGUUCCUACAUUUUUGUGAUGAUUACUAACUUGUUUUCCCUUAUUCCCCAAUAUGGGACUAACAACUAGAUGUUUCAAUAUGAAGCAACCUUACAUUCCUAGAUUAAUCCCAACUGUGACCUCCUGGUUCAUGGGUUGAUGCUCAACCACUGAGCCACACCAGCCAGGCCCAUAAGUUUUAUAAAAUGUAGUUUGGCCAUGGUCGGUGUGGCUUGGUGGUUGAGCAUUGACCUAUGAACCAGGAGGUCAUUGUUUGAUGCCCGGUGAGAGCACAUGCCUGGAUUUUGGGUUUUAUCCCCAGUGGGGAGGCUUGCAGGAGGCAGCUGAUCAAUGGCUCUCUCUCAUCAUUGGUGUUUCUCUCUCCCUUCCUCUCAUGAAAUCAAUAAAAAUAUAUUAAAAAUAAAAUAAAAUAAAAUAAAAUUUUAAAUAAAUAAAUUUUUUUUUAAUGUAGUUUGAACCAGGAAGCUCAUCGAAGCCCUGAGGAGGAGGAUGUGGUCCUUAAUCCACUUUGUGUUUGUCUCUCACAUUUUAUUUCAAUGGGCCCACGUUCA